rnacentral:tRNA from 1 species
GCCUGGGUGGCUCAGUCAAUUAAGCGUCUGACUUCAGUUCAGGUCACAAUCUCAUGGUUGGUGGGUUCGAGCCCCACACUGGGCU